UUGAAAAGAAGCGCUUCCGGCAGUCUUGAACUAUUAAUCAACGCACUAGCCUUCCGGCCCUGGAGCGACCCUCCCCUCGGGCCUUUCGGAGUCGUCCCAGCCCAGCUUCUGCGCGACUCGGCAGUCCUUAGCGGAGCCUCCUUGCGUCGGUCCCGGUCCAGACCACCCGGUCUCCGGGCUGCCCCGGCAUUAGGCGACCCCAGGACCCUGUGAUUGGCGCCUGCGCCUGCCGACGGUGACCGAAGAGCCCCUGCAGGGACUUGGGCAUUGCUUAGACUUGGGCAAGGAUCUUGCGUUAAUUAGUCUUUAUCUCCUCACCUGGUACCUGGCAUUUGGUGAAUGUUUAUUGAAUCUGUAGAGGCAUGUGGGCAAUUAAUCUGGAAAGGGAGAACAUCUUUGGUCCUACAGUGUUGCUGACAUUGAUAUUUUUCUAAGUGGUCUUGAACUGCCUACUUUUUAUGCAAAUAACUGGCUAGACAUAUUUUUCACUAUAGAAGCCUAUAACCUGCAGUUGUUAGAGAUUUAAAAACACUACUUUUAGGAUAUCAUCUACAUUUAACUUGAAAGCUCUCCUUUCUAAUUCCAA